UCCUUGGAAGAGGUCCUGAAAAAGAGAUCAGCCCACAGGAAGUUCAAUCUCAAGAACAAAACGACGCCCCCAGGCUCUCUUUCACAAGUACCCAACCAAAUAUGACUCUUACUUGGGAUCGCUCAGCGUCUGCGGAGUUUGGUUCAAAAGGAAAGGCUUCGUGAAAGGCGAUCUGGGCUUGACUCGCCACCGGAGCAUGGGGUUCCAUUUGACAUAAGAACCACGUUGGCAUGAGGGAUUUGAGAUGAGGUGCCAAGUUCCGGCCUGCUAUGCUCGCCACUAAAUCCACCAAGACAACUCGGGAACAUCAGACCAUUGAACAAGCAGGCAACCAAUUCAGACCUACCUCCUAACUUUAUUGCAAUAAUGGCUGUCGCCAAGAUUAAAUACAGUGCGAUAGGAUACGAUGCUACACAAAGGCGAUCCUUUCUUUCCCCCAACAUAUUACUCGUUCGUCGCUUGGAAGAAGGAAACGCAUGUCUAAUCCUGGCCACCAAUGUUUCCAAGAUUUGUGCUCCUUCAUUGGUUCCACUCGAGUGCAAAACGGAAAUGACCUAACUGCUGCCCAAAUAUUAUACUUCUAUCCGUCCAGGCAAACCAGUCUUGGGCUUUCGCCGCACUCGGCGAAUCUUACCUCUAUCAUUUAUCAUAAAACUGCAACCAACAGGAGAACGUCCAGACCCAUGGCCAUUGCAGUUACUUUAAUUAAUACGAUACACAAUGAAAUGUCCCCCUUGCAGCUCAUCUCCUGAUCUCCCAUUCUAGUUUUAGAGAAUGCCCUCCUCCUGUCAAGAAUUGUGGACCAUGGCACAAAAUAGCCUAUUCUUAUUAGAUAUGAGCCUUACCUGCUCUGUGAGCGAUUUGGGCGGCCUCUCGAACACGUCGAUCGUGCUCGGUGGAAACUUUGGAAUAGACCCUAGAGCCCAGGAAAGACGUUAAAAUGAUAAGGAAAACGGUACUUCAAGUAAGGUUACGACGGAACAAGUUUGGAGUCCAAAUCGAAGAAGCGUUCCAUGGAUGAAGUUUACUACCUUGAUUUUGGUGGUCACGUCC